CGGCGGACGGGUGAGUAACGCGUGGGUAACCUGCCUCAUACAGGGGGAUAACAGUUGGAAACGGCUGCUAAUACCGCAUAAGCGCACAGUACCGCAUGGUACGGUGUGAAAAACUCCGGUGGUAUGAGAUGGACCCGCGUCUGAUUAGGUAGUUGGUGGGGUAACGGCCUACCAAGCCGACGAUCAGUAGCCGACCUGAGAGGGUGAACGGCCACAUUGGGACUGAGACACGGCCCAA
rnacentral:rRNA from 1 species